UCCGGGUAGUGCUAAAGGUGGUGCGCGCCGGAUUGCCUCGGGUGGUGCCUUCGGCUUGGGAGAGGAGAAGCGGCAGGGGUCGAGGCAGCCAGGUGGGUACAGCAGGAGGAGCAGCGACUAGGUUCCGUAGAGGUAGAGCCAGAGGCUGCUGCUGCUCCGGAGGCCCUUCCACGCGCAGGCGCACGCGGCGUUCGCGUUGGCGGUGGGCCAGAGGCGGGCGGCGGCGAAGGAGGCGGCGCGGCGAGCCGACCCGCCGGGCGAGGAGGAGCGGCGGGAGCGGCAGAGGGAGAAGCGGAUACUCAUGAUGGCGGAGAGGGGCAAGGUGAGUAGGAGGAGCAGGCGAGGCGGCGGAGGCGGAGGCUGCGUCCGGCGGCCGUUGGAGUCGGCGCAGCUGGCGCGGCUGGCGCGGGCCUUCAGUACGGACUUCUACGAGCUAUGACUCUACGAAGUUUUAGACCUUGAAGCACUUGGGGGACUUGUUUUAGACGGUCAGUUCCUUCAACACAUGUCCAGGUCAGACGGGGUAGAACUUCUAUUACAAAGUAGGGCAUACUGCUUAAGCGCUAAAUUAAGUAAGUGCCCUAUAGUCUGGGAAUGACUUUCUCUUCUCUCAAAGUUCGGUUUCCUUUGAUGUCACCAAGUAACACCGAAGAUGUCACUUUUACCUCCCAAGUCUCAAAGACUACAUCUAUUUCUAAUGUACUCUAGAACGUCUCAACAACACCGGUGAACACGCAAACCACCUCCCCUACUGGAAGUGGUCGGAUAUCCCUACUGUCUUCACAGACAGUUUUUCCAUACGAUACAACGUAAGACCCUACUUCAGUGAGAGAGUCGAGUUGUACUCCUUCCAUUCUUCUAACCACUUCUAGAGUCCUAACCGGAAACCUCCUAGUAAGAACACUCUCUGGAAGGAAAGUGUCUAGUUGCCGACUUACCGUUUUAAGGGUUCGACUAUUCGGUAGCGGAAAAGGGAUACCGUUCUAUGAGCUAAACCCACCUAAGCUUCAGGGUCAAGGCCUCUCUAGGUGAUCCUCAGUAACUCCGGGAAGACACCGCGAGUUUGAGAAGGAACCGUAAUAGCCUUGUACCUCGAGCCUCGUCGAACAUACUGCUCCCAUUGCGCUAACAAUUCUUUGUGUUUCGUUGGGGUCUUCUUCAAUUUUAUGUCAACCUAGUCAUGGCCGUUCUACCGUAAGGCCUACUGUUUGCUAAGUUGCCUUUCUUUCGAGAACGUCUUCGAAGUCGGUAACACUCCCUAGUGCGGGGGAGCUGCUUGGAGAAGUACACGGAGACCAAGUUGCUCCACCACUCCAAGUGGAGGGCCCUAGUCGACUCGAAGGGGAUGCACGACGCUGCGGAGUCCGAGGGGCCGCAGGUGGACAAGGGCCACACGCGGGCGUUCCUAGAGCAGUUGUCGAAGCCGGUGUCCGCGUUCCACUUCGGAGAGCGGUUCCUCCCGUCUACUCGAAGACUUAGAUCGCGGGACCCGCAACAGGACUGACCUUAAAGCUGUCACGCACCGGAGCUAUGUGAGGUGGACGCGUUCGACAUAUCAAUGAGAUCAUCAAGAAAAGAAGCAGUCCACAUCUGAUAGAACCCCAUCGCUCUCCUCGUCAGUAAGUUUCAAGAGUCGACCAUGACCAUCAUCGCGUUACGUCCCCAUGUGUCCUCUUACCGAAACGGACUACAACAAGUUCCGUUUACAUCUAGCGGUUAAGCGGUAAGAAGAGCCGUCUUUGCUUUAGUUUCUUAAAGCCGAUUGGGGUUCAGUUACGGAAUUAAAACCGUAAACAUAGGAAAGAUCGGGACAGACAAAAGAAGAACUAGGAAUGGUACUUGAUCGAUUAAGAGUACUUUAAGUACACGUCGAAAGUCAGAC
rnacentral:rRNA from 1 species